AAGGUCGAGGCCUCUUAGAUGAUCAACCAACCAAGUUACUCGUGCCAAUUAACGGACUGCAUCCUCCCCUCCCGUCAAGCUACUUUGGCAAUGUGUUUUUGACAGCUUCAUCAAUUUCUGUGUCUGGAAAUCUCCGGUCAGAGCCGUCUGUAGAUACCGUAGAGCGAGUUUAUGGAGCAUUGCAAAGGAUGGAGAAUGAAUAUCUAAAAUCAGCUCUUGACUACCUAGAAGCACUGCCACAUAACAGCUUCCAGGAGAU